rnacentral:lncRNA from 1 species
GAGAACGCAUUUGCAGAUCAGUCCCUGUACUUUUCUUUAAUUUCAUUGUGGCCUUGGAUAUUUUCAACUACUUUCAAUUCGGUCCUUACUUUAAUUGCAAAUAAGUCCUUGAACUUUGUUUUCUUUAAUUUUGGCCCCAAAAUUUUGUCAAUCUUUGCAAUCAAGUCCUUUCUUCUCUUGACUUCUUAAAUGUGGUUUGUUGACAUGAUUUAAUUGAUUCAAAUUCAUGUUUAUUUUUAUCCUUUGUGAUUAUUUGUCAAAUAAAUUGGUGCCUUGACCUUUUUUAUUGUUUUGAAGCUAAUAUCUCAUUUACUCGAUUUCCAUUGCAAGGGAGGUAACUUCUAUAUUCUUGCGUUAUUUUUCCUACGUGCUCCAACGUGCUAAGUGAAAUACAUGUCUACUUUGCUUUCCUAACCUUUCUUUAAUUUCUUUCAUUUAUGUCAUUUACUUUUGCUUUUUAUUUAAGUUAUUCUUUAUGGGGUAUGUGUACACCUCUUGGCUUGUAAUAGUUAGGGAUUUAAUCAUUUUAUUCCUUUUCCCCCUUUUACCCUAAUGUAAUAGAUAGGGCUUGGAGGAGCAUUCAAUGAAGACCUACCGAAGUCAUGUGCCUAGCUAGCAAAUGUAAUAGUUAGGGCUUUAAUUGUCUUAUGUGUCUUGCAUGCUUAGUUGCUACGUGUUAAUUUGCUUUGUUAGGGUCUUGCAUCUAGUCGAACAUGCUAAAUGUUAUGUGCUAUGUGUUUAUGAGUGUUUGGCAUGUCUACUCGCUUUCCAUAGCCAUGAAUGAAUGUGAUGGAUGAAUGUACGUUUCCACUAGUCCAACGCUAGUAGGAAUUCAUAGAAUGGGCUAGUCCAACGCUAGACCCUUAGGGAUUUCCCCUCGUUAGUACAAGUUUGCAUGUUCAUUACAUGUCAUGCAUUCCUUUUAGUUUUAUCAUUUUGCAUGCCCCCCGAACCCCUUUUCCCUCC